CCUACGGGCGGCUGCAGUGGGGAAUAUUGCACAAUGGGCGCAAGCCUGAUGCAGCCAUGCCGCGUGUGUGAAGAAGGCCUUCGGGCUGUAAAGCACUUUCAGCGGGGAGGAAGGCGUUAAGGUUAAUAACCUUGGCGAUUGACGUUACCCGCAGAAGAAGCACCGGCUAACUCCGUGCCAGCAGCCGCGGUAAUACGGAGGGUGCAAGCGUUAAUCGGAAUUACUGGGCGUAAAGCGCACGCAGGCGGUCUGUCAAGUCGGAUGUGAAAUCCCCGGGCUCAACCUGGGAACUGCAUUCGAAACUGGCAGGCUAGAGUCUUGUAGAGGGGGGUAGAAUUCCAGGUGUAGCGGUGAAAUGCGUAGAGAUCUGGAGGAAUACCGGUGGCGAAGGCGGCCCCCUGGACAAAGACUGACGCUCAGGUGCGAAAGCGUGGGGAGCAAACAGGAUUAGAUACCCGUGUAGUC
rnacentral:rRNA from 1 species